rnacentral:pre_miRNA from 1 species
AAUGUACUCCCUCCAUCCAGAAAUACUUGUCGUGGAAAUGGAUAUAAAUGGAUGCAUCUAAAACUAAAAUACAUCUAGAUACAUCAAUUCUUCUGACAAAUAUUUCCGGACGGAGGGAGUACAUC